CGCCUAACACAUGCAAGUCGAACGCAGUAGCAAUACUGAGUGGCAAACGGGUGAGUAUAAUGUGGGAAUCUGCCUUUUGGUUUGGAAUAACACGGGGAAACUUGUGCUAAUACCGAAUAAGCCCUUACGGGGAAAGUUUUAAUGCCGAAAGAUGAGCCCGCACUUGAUUAGCUAGUUGGUAAGGUAAAAGCUUACCAAGGCAAUGAUCAAUAGCUGUUCUUAGAGGAAGACCAGCCACAUUGGGACUGAGACACGGCCCAGACUCCUACGGGAGGCAGCAGUGGGGAAUCUUGCACAAUGGGGGAAACCCUGAUGCAGCGAUGCCGCGUGAGUGAAGAAGGCCUUUGGGUUGUAAAACUCUUUCGUCGGGGAAGAAAAUGACUGUACCCGAAUAAGAAGGUCCGGCUAACUUCGUGCCAGCAGCCGCGGUAAUACGAAGGGACCUAGCGUAGUUCGGAAUUACUGGGCUUAAAGAGCUCGUAGGUGGUUAAAAAAGUUGAUGGUGAAAUCCCAAGGCUUAACCUUGGAACUGCCAUCAAAACUUUUUAGCUAGAGUGUGAUAGAGGUAAGUGGAAUUUCUAGUGUAGAGGUGAAAUUCGUAGAUAUUAGAAAGAACACCAAAUGCGAAGGCAACUUACUGGGUCACUACUGACACUGAGGAGCGAAAGCAUGGGUAGCGAAGAGGAUUAGAUACCCUCGUAGUCCAUGCUGUAAACGAUGUGUGCUAGACGUUGGAAAUAUAUUUUUCAGUGUCGCAGCGAAAGCAUUAAGCACACCGCCUGGGGAGUACG
rnacentral:rRNA from 1 species